UGUCCCAGCCGCCGCGGUAAUACGUAGGGUGCAAGCGUUAUCCGGAAUUAUUGGGCGUAAAGGGCUCGUAGGCGGUUCGUCGCGUCCGGUGUGAAAGUCCAUCGCUUAACGGUGGAUCCGCGCCGGGUACGGGCGGGCUUGAGUGCGGUAGGGGAGACUGGAAUUCCCGGUGUAACGGUGGAAUGUGUAGAUAUCGGGAAGAACACCAAUGGCGAAGGCAGGUCUCUGGGCCGUUACUGACGCUGAGGAGCGAAAGCGUGGGGAGCGAACAGGAUUAGAUACCCUGGUAGUCCACGCCGUAAACGGUGGAUGCUGGAUGUGGGGCCCGUUCCACGGGUUCCGUGUCGGAGCUAACGCGUUAAGCAUCCCGCCUGGGGAGUACGGCCGCAAGGCUAAAACUCAAAGAAAUUGACGGGGGCCCGCACAAGCGGCGGAGCAUGCGGAUUAAUUCGAUGCAACGCGAAGAACCUUACCUGGGCUUGACAUGUUCCCGACGAUCCCAGAGAUGGGGUUUCCCUUCGGGGCGGGUUCACAGGUGGUGCAUGGUCGUCGUCAGCUCGCGUCGUGAGAUGUUGGGUUAAGUCCCGCAACGAGCGCAACCCUCGCCCCGUGUUGCCAGCGGAUUAUGCCGGGAACUCACGGGGGACCGCCGGGGUUAACUCGGAGGAAGGUGGGGAUGACGUCAGAUCAUCAUGCCCCUUACGUCCAGGGCUUCACGCAUGCUACAAUGGCCGGUACAACGGGAUGCGACAGUGCGAGCUGGAGCGGAUCCCUGAAAACCGGUCUCAGUUCGGAUCGUAGUCCGCAACUCGACUGCGUGAAGGCGGAGUCGCUAGUAAUCGCGAAUCAGCAACGUCGCGGUGAAUGCGUUCCCGGGCCUUGUACACACCGCCCGUCAAGUCAUGAAAGUGGGCAGCACCCCAGCCGGUGGCCUAACCCCUUGCGGGAGGGAGCCGUCUAAGGUGAGGCUCGUGAUUGGGACUAAGUCUAACAAGUAACCUAAUCG
rnacentral:rRNA from 1 species